GGGCCCGCACAAGCGGUGGAGCAUGUGGUUUAAUUCGACGCAACGCGCAGAACCUUACCAGCCCUUGACAUGUCCCGUAUGGGUUUCAGAGAUGAGAUCCUUCAGUUCGGCUGGCGGGAACACAGGUGCUGCAUGGCUGUCGUCAGCUCGUGUCGUGAGAUGUUGGGUUAAGUCCCGCAACGAGCGCAACCCCCGCCUUUAGUUGCCAUCAUUUAGUUGGGCACUCUAAAGGGACUGCCGGUGAUAAGCCGCGAGGAAGGUGGGGAUGACGUCAAGUCCUCAUGGCCCUUACGGGCUGGGCUACACACGUGCUACAAUGGCGGUGACAGAGGGAUGCAAAGGGGCGACCCUUCGCAAAUCUCAAAAAGCCGUCUCAGUUCGGAUUGGGCUCUGCAACUCGAGCCCAUGAAGUUGGAAUCGCUAGUAAUCGCAGAUCAGCACGCUGCGGUGAAUACGUUCCCGGGCCUU
rnacentral:rRNA from 1 species